AGAGUUUGAUCCUGGCUCAGAGCGAACGUUAGCGGCGCGCCUAACACAUGCAAGUCGAGCGAGAAUUGGGGCUUCGGCUCCAUAGUAAAGCGGCGCACGGGUGAGUAACACGUAGAUAAUCUACCUCUUGGUGGGGGACAACCUUCCGAAAGGAGGGCUAAUACCGCAUCAGACCACGGUGACUUCGGUCGCAGGGGUUAAAGGUGGCCUCUUCAUGAAAGUUAUCGCCAGGAGAUGAGUCUGCGUCCCAUCAGCUAGUUGGUAGGGUAACGGCCUACCAAGGCUACGACGGGUAGCUGGUCUGAGAGGAUGAUCAGCCACACUGGAACUGAGACACGGUCCAGACUCCUACGGGAGGCAGCAGUGGGGGAAUCUUGCGCAAUGGGCGAAAGCCUGACGCAGCGACGCCGCGUGGGGUGAUGAAGGCCUUCGGGUUGUAAAGCCCUGUGGGGGAGGGACGAACAAGUGCCAACCUAAUACGUUGGUGCCUUGACGAGUACCUCCUUAGCAAGCACCGGGCUAACUCUGUGUCAGCAGCCCGCGGUAAGACAGAAGGGUGCAACGUUGCUCGGAAAUUACUUGGGCGUAAGCGCGUGUAAGCCGGCUUGUUAAGUCGGUGGUGAAAUCCCUGCCGGCUCCAAACCAGAGCGAAGGUGCAGUUCUAUACUGGGCAUAGGCCGAGUCCCGAGAGGGUCCGUGGGAACUUGCCGUCGGGUAAAGGAGAAUUUCUAAAUAUUCGAGGGAAACGCCGCGGAGGGAAGUCGUGGUACCUGGACCAUUACUGACCGCUCAGACGGAGGCGUGGGGAGCAAACAGGAUUAGAUUCCCGUGGUUAGUCCCACGCUAUAAACGAUGGGUUACUAGGUUUUGGCGGGAUAUGCCCCCUCGCGGGUGCCGAAAGCUAACCCAUUAAGUCCCCCCGCCUGGGGGAUUACCGCCCCGCAGGUUUAAAAUUCAAAGGAAAUGGCGGGGGGCCCCCCCCAAAGCGGGGGAGCAUGUGGUUUAAUUUCGCCGCACCGCGAAAGACCCUUUCCCGGGGUUUAGAACCCGUGGGACCCCUGAAGAAAAUUCGGGGGGUGCUCCCAAGGAGACCCAACGCCCUCGGUGCUCCAUGGCUGUCGUCAGCUCCGUGUCGUGAAGAUGUUGGGUUAAAGUCCCGCCAACGAGCCGCACCCCCUGUUAUUAGUUGCCAUCAGUUCGGCUGGGCACCCUAAUGAAACCCCCCGUUGAUAAAACGGAGGAAGGUGGGGAUGACGUCAAGUCCUCAUGGCCCUUAUAUCCGGGGCUACACACGUGCUACAAUGGCCGGUACAAAGGGCCGCAAACCCGCGAGGGCAAGCAAAUCCCAAAAAACCGGUCUCAGUACGGAUAGGAGUCUGCAACUCGACUCCUUGAAGUCGGAAUCGCUAGUAAUCCCUGAUCAGCAGGCAGGGGUGAAUACGUUCCCGGGCCUUGUACACACCGCCCGUCACACCAUGGGAGUCGGUUGCUCCAGAAGUGGCUGUGCUAACCCGCAAGGGAGGCAGGUCCCUAAGGAGUGGCCGGUAACUGGGGUGAAGUCGUAACAAGGUAACC
rnacentral:rRNA from 1 species